rnacentral:pre_miRNA from 1 species
UUUUAUGUAGUUUUAAAUUAUAAUAGAUUGGUGUAAAAUUGAGACUUUAACAUUUUCAUGCAAUUUAUAUCAACAUGAUAUGCUAGAGUGUCGGUUCUACAACUAUCACAAAUCAAUCUUCGAACUAAGGCUCAAACUU